GAUGAACGCUGGCGGCGUGCCUAAUACAUGCAAGUCGAGCGAACGGACGAGAAGCUUGCUUCUCUGAUGCUAGCGGCGGACGGGUGAGUAACACGUGGAUAACCUACCUAUAAGACUGGGAUAACUUCGGGAAACCGGAGCUAAUACCGGAUAAUAUUUUGAACCGCAUGGUUCAAAAGUAAAAGACGGUCUUGCUGUCACUUAUAGAUGGAUCCGCGCUGCAUUAGCUAGUUGGUAAGGUAACGGCUUACCAAGGCAACGAUGCAUAGCCGACCUGAGAGGGUGAUCGGCCACACUGGAACUGAGACACGGUCCAGACUCCUACGGGAGGCAGCAGUAGGGAAUCUUCCGCAAUGGGCGAAAGCCUGACGGAGCAACGCCGCGUGAGUGAUGAAGGUCUUCGGAUCGUAAAACUCUGUUAUUAGGGAAGAACAAAUGUGUAAGUAACUGUGCACAUCUUGACGGUACCUAAUCAGAAAGCCACGGCUAACUACGUG
rnacentral:rRNA from 1 species